rnacentral:rRNA from 1 species
GGCGUACGGGUGCGGAACACGUGUGCAACCUGCCUUUAUCGAGGGGAUAGCCUUUCGAAAGGAAGAUUAAUACCCUAUAAUAUCAUGAUUCGGCAUCGGAUUAUAUUGAAAACUACGGUGGAUAAAAGAUGGGCACGCGCAAAGAUUAGCUAGUUGGUGAGGUAACGGCUCACCAAGGCGACAAUCUUUAGGGGGCCUGAGAGGGUGAUCCCCCACACUGGUACUGACACACGGACCACACUCCUACGGGAGGGCAGCAGUGAGGAAUAUUGGCACAAUGGGUGAAAGCCUGAUCCAGCCAUCCCGCGUGUAAGAAGACGGCCCUAUGGGUUGUAAACUACUUUUAUCUGGGGAUAAACCUACUUACGUGUAAGUAGCUGAUGGUACCACAUGAAUAAGCACCGGCUAACUCCGUGCCAGCAGCCGCGGUAAUACUGAGGGUGCAAGCGUUAUCCGGAUUU